GGCUUGGUAGCUUAGUUGGUAAAGCGCUCGUCUAGCAUACUAGAGGCCUGGGUUCAAAUCCCAGCCGAGUAC
rnacentral:tRNA from 1 species